AACACGACUUGGGUAGUCACCAGUCCAAGGAAGAUGAAAGCAGGGGUACAGUUGACACACGAAACUAUGCUGACCCAAUAGAGAGGCAGCCUACACCGGAGCAUUACCUACACCAACUGCAUCUCCCUGACAGACUGGGUGGCUACUGCUGACACAUGACACUCUCUGGGAAAAUAAGAAGCCUCGGUUGCAUCAGGUAAUUGCAACAAGCAGAAACCAGAUAGGAUAUGCACAUGGAGGCUUCCAGAAGCAGCAAUGAUUAAAUCACCGAUGAUGAACAAGUCAAGAGGAUAAUCCCUCAGCAAACUGGAUCACCGCAUAAUCCAGAAGUACUAAGAAGGAAAGCACAGGAAGACCGGAGGGACAGCCUGCAGAGAGAUGUGAACUUCCAGCUAGAGCAAACAAAGAAUGUCCAGAUUAUCAGCACCAGGAUAAGAAGUACUCAUUCAGUACUUCCAGAUUAACCAUAAAUGGCAGAAACCAGCAUGACCAAGUGAGGAUUAGAGCUUUGCAAACAGCCCGGCCUAGACUCCGGUAAAGAGAGGUGAUUACUUGGUCAUGGCAUCGGCAGUCAUUGCUAACAAGUGUUGGAGGAAGGCUUAUGUGGAAUGAGACAAAUUGAACAUCCUGUGUCUGAAGAGCUGUAGAUGUCUACAGUGUGCUACUUUUGACAAAUGGUCCUUGAAAAAUAACUGCAUCUAAAUUUAUGUUCCCCCAAGUAAUAAGAGGCCCUGAAUACUGAUCUGAAAGGUAUCAUUUAUUGAAACAAUAUUUAUUGAGCAAAUAUUAUAUACUAGACUCUAUGCCAAGUAGUGAUGAUAAAAACAACAUGUAAAGAAGCCCCAUCCUUGAGAAACUCGCAGUCCAGGGGGAAGACACUACAAGACAGGCACCAUGGAGGGAUACUUAGAAAAUUGCUCGCUUUCAUCUUGGUGGGUUCUUGCUGUUUUGUUUUGUUUUGUUUUUUGCUGUUUUGCUACAAUGAGUUAACCUGGGAAGAAUAAAAUAUGUACUAGCACAACGCUGGUAUUAAGUCUCUGCAAUGAUUGGAGUAUUUCUGAACAUACAGGGAUAGAAACAUCUUUUUAUGUUCUGAGAUGGGGCAAAGACGGUGAGAGAUUAAACCACCACUGGAGGAAGUGGAGCUGGUGCUGGGAUUAAAGUGAGAUCCCAGUCAAAGCCAGGAUGAUAGCUUCAACAAAAGUGAUUGUGGGAGUUAGGUUGCGAGACCCGGGGGGGGGGCACUAAUCACCCAUAUUAAGGAAUGGCUGGGAGGGAGCCGGAAACUGAAGUAGUGUGGCUAGAGGCUCCAUCAUCAGUCCAUGGAGAGAAACCUCUGUAAGGCACAUCUCUGAAGCUACCCCUCACACCUCUGACACGGUGGUAACAGAGACAAUAGGGAUUUGUGUUGAAUUCAAGACUGUGCCUAUCUGUCCAAGAGUCACUCUGGCACAGAAAUCUUGUGCAUGGCUGUGCAUGUUUUGGAAUUCCACACACACAUCUGGGAUUUGUGGGGAGCAAAUACUGCCAGGUGUCACAUGAGUUGCCUACCAGUUCUGCAGCCAGCAUAAAGAAACGUAGAGGUGUUGGGCCUGGUUAGGGAGGGUGAUAACUGGAAUGCACCCACUUCAUAAGGAGCAACUACUGUUCAGAUCCACCCAGUCAAAGUCAGGCAGAGACGCUGGGAGAUUACAGUAAGAUUUUUAAUACUGGCAACUGAUUCAAAAUUUAAAACAUGAGGGUCAAAUAACAUCCAUCUUCUGUAUUGAUCUACAAACGGGUAUCUGUAAUUCUAGGCUAAGAAAAUAAAUUUUAAAAUUAGGUAAGCUGUGGAAAGUGGGUAAAGAAGUUGGAUUUUGACAUGAAAUUGGGGGAGCGGGUAUGAUGCCUGGUAUGAUACGAGACAUCAGUGACAGUAGAAACAAUAAAACACCAGCAUUGUGAA